rnacentral:rRNA from 1 species
GAGACAGUGAUGUGGAGCGAAUCCCAAAAAUAACGUCUCAGUUCGGAUUGUAGUCUGCAACCCGACUACAUGAAGCUGGAAUCGCUAGUAAUCGCGGAUCAGAAUGCCGCGGUGAAUACGUUCCCGGGUCUUGUACACACCGCCCGUCACACCAUGGGAGUCAGUAACGCCCGAAGUCAGUGACCCAACCUGAUAGGAGGGAGCUGCCGAAGGCGGGACCGGUGACUGGGGUGAAGUCGUAACAAGGUAUC